CUAAACGCCAAGGGACGAACCACCUGCGGAUCAUUUCGGUAAACCAAACUGGUGACUCGUUGCAUCUCGAAUACAUCAAAUUUGGCGAGUACUAAUGAGAAAUAAAAUGCUAGGACUUUAUCGACUUUAGACAGGAUGGACUUCUCAAUCUUCGCUGUAAUGAUUAGAAAAUUAAUUUAGCAAGAAUCUCGGACAAACUUCCAGCUUGACGUAAAAAAACCGUCGUCCGCCGAUGCAGUCAUCAAGGUGAGCAGACCGGGUCUCGACCGCGUUGCAAAAGAAAAAGAAAAAAAAACAGACCGAAGGAACGCGACGUUCGCGGUCGGUAGCACAGAAAUCCUUCGCGAUCGUCUGACAUCACCGAAUGAUUGCCGAGUUAAUCACGCGGGGAAUGGCAAUGAAUGAGUCAAGUUGACUCACGGUGAAAGUGGCCGAGAGCCGCGCGGCGUGACGAUCGGCACGCUCUCGUGCAACGCGAUCAUGCAAAUCGGCCGACGGUCUCGUCGCGCCUGGCUUUUUGUACGAGCGACGACGACGCGACGAUCGCGGCUCUCCAUUCAUGGAAACGAUGUCGGACAUUUUUCUAUCGCGCGCGCGCGCGGGAUCGGUGAAAGGAUUGCAGGAAGCGUGACGUCGUCGCGUCGUCGCGCCGCUGCGAACUGUAGGCGCGGGGAUUACACCAUAGAUAUCCGGUGAUAUCGUUCGACCGGCAAUAACGAGAGACAUUUGAUACGCGACAAAGAGAAGUAAAACGUGUAGAAAAAUCUCGUGUAAAAUCUCUAGGUAUGUCUGUACAUUACCGCGGUGCUUUACCGAACUGCGUACCUUAACCUAUACAGUGCAGUUCUCGAUGGGCCGGUGCGAACACGUGAUCGUGGGGGUGCCUAUACCUAAUUUGUAAAAUGCUACAGUGAGAAUGAUCCUAGUUCGCCUUCAUUGAGGAACCGCAUUAAUACCUACAAUCACCCUAGAACGAGAACAGAAUAUGUACAACGGCUUGAAACGCUUUUACGUUGGUUUUCGAUCAUGCAGCAAGAAAGAAAACAGAAGAUUGCAUGUUGGCGCAUCGUACACGGUGUUCACACUAUCUCCACGUUCGAUUGCUCACGUUCGGUCGCUGCGUUUGCCGGGGAUGCUACGAUGGACCGUGUGCACCGUAUGCACCGAGUUCGUCGACCCGAGGAGGACCGAACGUGCCGCGGAGCUUCCAAGGCAGGACGAGGGAGACGUUUCGUCGACUUAAGGAAAUAUUUACACCCCGAAGAGAAAAAUAUUGAAUUAGAAGGGAUCAGGGCGCUCUGGUAGACGAUAGCGCGCGGCGAACGGGUCCGAGGUCGAGGAAUCGUUGUAAAUACGAGGAGAGACCGUGUCGAGUGCAGGUUCGAGCGACGAUAACGGGUCGUUACCGAUACGAAUUGUAUCCUCAGCGUUUUAAUGCCGCUGAAGUAGCAAUAAAGAAUGCGCGUUGAAAUUUACGGCCUCGCUCUCGUGUUCCCCGUGCCUGCAACACGUGGACGAGCCGCGCACGUGCAGGAGAAAAGCACGCCUACGCGUACGGAGCCGGGUAAACAGUGCUGCUGCUGCUCCUCGACCGAUAUCGGCCCGUGACCGUUCGCAAGCUGCCACGAAAAAUCAUCGGACGACGAUCGAUCUUGACCUCGGCCAACGGCGUCCACGUGGGAGACCGUUUUCACGGUUUUUUUUCAGGAAACGAACGAUUUUUCCGUCCGUUGGGAAACGGCGGUCGUCUAACUCUGCGACGUUACUAUGGAACACUGAUGAUAGCGGGACUAGUCUACUAAACGAUGACCGAAAUGCUUAUUUUUUAAUUUUGCUAUUACUCGGAAUGAGAGAAAGGAAUAAAAAGCUCGCGUCUUUCAACUGUUUUAUCGGAGCCUGUAACUGUAAUAUUUAAAAAAUACCUCUCGUAGAUCUCGCUUGGCUCCAUCUGCUCGACAAUCUAUCCUAGCCUCGUGGACUGGAUUUAUGGCACAGGUAAUACGGUCAUUGUUCCGUAGAUUUACGGGUGGCGUGACGAGUCACCUUGGGCCCAGACAAUCCGGUUAUUUAUGAUCGUGAACAUUUGUGCAUUCCUAUGCGACUGUCGCUGUCUUUUCGAGCCGUCCGAACGGAAAGGGACCCCGCCGUAAACAUGCGGGACCCGUUAAAUUCUAGACCCGGACCAUGAACUUGCAAGUGUCGAUUCCCAAAUUAACGGCGCCCCGGGGACUCUUCGCAUGCCUCUGCUCGUCUCAUGGCCGUAGGUUGGAAACAGGCACCAUCGACGCGCGAAACGAAGAAUUUCACGGCUGGCCCGAAAACUGGGCCUUGUCCUUGCUGCGCUCGAGUCACUGGGCGACGAGUUUCCGCCUCGCGAUCCUUUAUAGACAAUAGGGAGCGGUGGGACGACACCGGGCGGCAGUGAUUGAAAAAGAUGGUGGCGUGUAUUGUGAGUGGCGGGUUCCGGUGACGUCGGAAAGGACGAGGAUCCACGGACGGCGAUCGAUCGUCGGCGGAGGGAUCGCGGAACGUGACCCGGAGUAGACGAGUAACAACGAUCUGUCCGUCACCGUCACCGCGAAUGGACUGGCCGCCGCGAUAGAUACGGGCCCAGUAGACCACGCGGCGCGGGGGAGGGGGACGGGCUCGGGGCGAAUGACGAGGAACGCGGUGGAGUACGGCGAGUAGUAGCGAGUUUGUGAGCAGAGCUCUGCCGGGUCUCUUGCGUCAGUUUUUGACGGAAUCGGGAAGCCCGGCCGCGCUGCGACAGAAACCGCGUAUCGACAACGACGCAGCGAUCAUUUAUGCAUUUCUCCGCGGCCCCUGUCGCGCCGGCACGCCGACUAACUGAUCAGGGCGGCUGCUGAUCCGGCCGAUUCGGUCCGAAGCGUUCGAAUAGGCGACUUUUACGUGGUGCGAAUAAUUAUAGACGCAAUGUAACUUGUACAUUGUCACUGAUGUGUGAACGAAGACUUAACAAAAUAACGUAUUUGUAUAUUUCUAUUUUCUAUGAUUUCUGAUAUUAAAAUGUACAGAUACGAUGUUUUGUUUGGCAACGCUUUUACUGUCGAUCCGGCAACUUCAAAAAUGCUGCAAU